ACUGCAUGUUGUGACCAUUCGAGCAAUGAAUGACAGAAGUGUAGAUUGUAGCUUUUAAGACGAUCAUUAUCGUGAAUACAGAGCUGUGAACCGUAACAGGAUUUUGUCUAUCGUAGUUGCUGCUAGAUUUCUUUUUGUUUAUAAGUCAAGGCGUCACAAGCAUCGACAUGACAGGAAUAUUAUAGACUACUUUCAUUUUCUUAAGCCAAAACUAUGCAGCUGUCCUGUUCGAGUAGACUUUUAAGAGUAGCACGUGUUAAACUCGUUCACAGGAAUAUAAUAACAUCAGAUGACGGUGCGCAACAGAGCGAAUCAGGUUCGGGUUGUACGCCACGGUCUGACACGCGCACGCUUUCAGAUGGCGAUAAACUCAUUCACAAACUCCACGUGGACGCGUGUAAGAAUCAAGAAGAGACGUACAUUGACGCUGUAACUGGGUACAAGGUGUUCACUGAAUUUGCCCAUAGGAAAAGAGGAAAAUGUUGUGGGAGUGCAUGCAGACAUUGUCCAUACGGACAAAUUAACGUGAAGGAUCCAUCAAAGAAGAAAACCUUCAACUCGUUGUUUUAUGUGUAGCCGUUAACGUGAAGGUCCACCGAACGGCUCCCGUACUGAAUUUAAACUUCAUUUAAAGCACGCUCUCCGCUGACUCCGUUUGAAAUGAUGAAAUACACUACACCAGAUGUGCAACCCACACUCCAGGAAACGUUUUGAAUCGCGUCUAUCCUUUGUGAUUUGAUGUACAGGAGUUUGGAUGCUCUUCUGUCCACAAGCGGGAAUUUUUCUUGUGUGAAUAUUCAUAUAGUUACAUGCAAUCUUAAUUUUAACAGCUGUCGAUUUUGACUAGGCUCUUAAUGUUAUGACCAAGAAAGCACCAUUGAGAAUAAAGGCUUCGUAUCAUAUAUAUUGGUAACAUUACAAUAAGGUUGUAUUUGUUAACAUUAGUAAAUGCAUUAGCUAACAUGAACUAACAAUGAGCACCUACCUACAUCAGGGUCCCGUUUCAAGGGAGCCCAUCAAGUCCUUUUUGUAUUUGUUUACCUGUUACAAUGACAAAGUGUGCGACGCGUAUAAUGAUGUGAUCAUACAUCAGAUGAUAGAUUCAUAUCGAUACCAAACAUGUGAAAUCCAUCACACUCGUAUAUUCUGUGUGGUACCUCCUGGCCAUUACAGUAUAUGCCUCUCCAAUAUCUCUGUGUAGUUGAUUCAUAUCUCCCUGUGGCUAACUGUGAUUGAUACUUGGCUCUGUCUCGUCCACUAAAAUCAUGAUUUCAACUCAAACGUGUUGCGUUGGUUACAUUUUGAUCAGUGCAAAUCUAAUAGUUCAUAAUUAUGUGCCAUAAUUUAGUUUUCUGUGUAUCCUUGUGAUAGUUUGUCUGCAGAUAUGCAGAUUUUUGCCUCGGGCACUGGCUGUCCAACCUGUCACGCAGCAUCGCGAGGCAGGAACGAGGAAACGUUCUUUGAAUGCAGGAACGUGUAUGUGGCAGAACCCAGUCCGGGCUGCGAGAGGGUCCCAAGGCGUGUGCACAUUUAUCAGGAGCAAGGCCCUGUGAACGUCGACAAGGAGAUCCGUGAUCUCAACGUUUCCGGGGAGGACAGGCAGGCGAGGGGCUCGUGCCAUCGUCGGUCCGGAUGAGAGGCAAAUUUAUUUGGGUAAAACCUAAGUUGAGGCAGCGGAGCGUACGGCGGCAACAUUUCCAGUGGUGUCACACUCAUCAAGUACCUGGGCCUGCCUGCCACGGGUCUGCUUGUUAUGCCUAGGGACCUGUCUGUCACAUUAAAGUAGAUGCAUUGCCAUUCAAGACCCUUCCCAGUCCUUUUGCCUGACCAUGAAAUAGGCCAACUUUCAUGUCUGCCUUAUUCCUCUGCAUCAUAUGACUUCAGAGAUUUUAAAGUCUUGUCUUCUUUUUUUGAAUUCACGGUAUUUGGCGACUGAGUCGCGGACACCGUGGUCCCUCACAGCUGAGACAGAUUUCAAGGUUUGCUAUAGCAAAAGACUCGCAAGUUGUGCGCUCACCGGUCUUGUUAUGUGCUGGGAUCAGGUGUGGAAAUCAUAACCACUCAACAAGCAAACAUGCGUAUUUGGUGGAGAGGAUUCUGAAAUCUCAUAGGACUGCAUUGGAGAUGGAUGUUGGUUAUGCUUGAGUAGCAUUUCCAUAAAAAAUUCCUACAGGUAUCGAGCUGUUCGUUCGAGCAUCUGGUUGUAAAAGUCAGACGUAUCAAAUGACACCUGGGUUCUGGCUUCAAGUACACCAAACUCUCUAAUUCCCCUUGAAUUGAAACCCACCCAAGCUGCCAUAGGGGCUACCGUUACUGCAUCUGCAGGGCUUUGGAGUCCGUCACCUGACCUUCGGCUAACAUAUGCUACAGCAGACCCAACUCACUGCCACUUUUCCAGAAGCAGUGGGACGGUCUGCUUGGACGAGCGUCCAAACAUAUCACUGUCCUUUCCAGCUCACAGGGAUUGGGGGCAAACCCUCAUAGCCUCGGCACCUCCACAGACCACCGCUCUUUGACUUUCGAGUGCCCAGGCCGGGCAGAGUAUGACAUGCAUUGGCCGCGAGGAACUGAUGUCAGCUGGGUGAUGGCUGGAAAAUCAGUUUCAGCAUCUGGGAUGUCCCUCUGAGUGCGCAUGCGGGCGCGUGAUCGAGCGUCGUCGUUGGCAGUGUUUGUGCGCUUGUUGAACGGAGCUGCAGCCGAGCAGCCCGUCUGGUCAUGCUACAGAGACAAUGUCAUUCAGCCUUGGGGCUGAAGCUUUACCAAAGUGGUAAGAUGGACAACCGGCUUCCCUGUGGUCGCACCAGUGCUUCCAAAAAAGCCUCCAAUGUCUGACUGACAGUCAGAGGGCCAGAUUCCUUUGGACAAGGCUGUAAAUAGCUGCACAAAGCACUGGGGCAUCUUCCCCACAAGAAGCUCGAGCCAGAAUGUCUGGCCAUAUCAUGCCAUAUGUGGCACCGUUCAGUCUGGAUCAGGUGGUCAAUUCGUUCAAAGAGAAAUCUUAAGCUUUGCCUAUUGUGAGAGCGAAGAGUCGUAUCGAGAUCAGCCAGAGAUUCUUGGCAUUGCGGUUUGGAUGCUGUUCAUCGCUGUCGUAGCCUUCAAUGCCAGUUGUCCUGAAGGACCAAUGAAAUAUUAAAACCAAUAAAAAAUACCAAAAUGGUUUGCGACUGUGGUAAAUCCCAUAGAGCGAUUUGCGCCAAUUUGAGGGAAACCCAUUAAGGAACUCCUCUUCACCAGCAGAACUUUCAAUGCAGUCUCAUAAUCUAAUUAUGAGAUUAGGAGCAUCAAAGUUUGCUUUCACUCAUUGAUUUUAAUCUUUGACUCAAGAUCUCAAGGUUAUAUUUUCGCAGAAAGUUCUUUACAUUAUGUAGUAAAAAAAAACAUAUAUCGAGAAAAAACGACUUUUGUACAGGCAGAGUCGCAUAUGUAUGGUUAAACAGAUGCAAGACAGAACGGAUUUAGUGUUUCACAGUGACCUCACUGCUGUUGGUUAUAUUUUCCUAAACAUUAAGUCGAUGCAAGUUAAUGAGACAUUUUCAAACUUUAAUCUUUUUUUAAUAGUCAAAUUUAAUUCUUGGGGUUUAGGGAAGAUCAACACAAACUUUCUGAAAGUUCUAGAACGAAGCAUGUAACUUCAUUGGACCGCUGCUGGG